rnacentral:rRNA from 1 species
UUCUCGGGGUUAUUGGGUCGUAAAGCGCGCGCAGGCGGCUUCUUAAGUCUGAUGUGAAAUCUUGCGGCUCAACCGCAAGCGGUCAUUGGAAACUGGGAGGCUUGAGUGCAGAAGAGGAGAGUGGAAUUCCACGUGUAGCGGUGAAAUGCGUAGAGAUGUGGAGGAACACCAGUGGCGAAGGCGGCUCUCUGGUCUGUAACUGACGCUGAGGCGCGAAAGCGUGGGGAGCAAACAGGAUUAGAUACCCUGGUAGUCCACGCCGUAAACGAUGAGUGCUAAGUGUUAGAGGGUUUCCGCCCUUUAGUGCUGCAGCUAACGCAUUAAGCACUCCGCCUGGGGAGUACGGCCGCAAGGCUGAAACUCAAAGGGAAUGACGGA